AGCUUGGCACAGUGGCAGUAUUGUAGCCAAUGAGAUUUAUCUGAGGCUUGAUUAUUGCUAAUUGAAAACUUUUACCAAUACCCCACCAUGACAACUUGCAAUAUAGUUGGCAUUGGCAAUUUUUGACAGUCUCUACGGAGA
ensembl:snRNA U4 U4 spliceosomal RNA